rnacentral:rRNA from 1 species
GACGUAGGGCGCGAGCGUUGUCCGGAUUUAUUGGGCGUAAAGAGCUCGUAGGCGGCUUGUCGCGUCGUCCGUGAAAACCUGCAGCUCAACUGCAGGCUUGCGGUCGAUACGGGCAGGCUGGAGUUCGGUAGGGGAGACUGGAAUUCCUGGUGUAGCGGUGAAAUGCGCAGAUAUCAGGAGGAACACCGGUGGCGAAGGCGGGUCUCUGGGACGGUAUGA